GGAGUUACAGUUCUGUGGUAGAAUGUGUGCUUAACAUGCAACAAGCCCUGGGUUCAAACCCCAGUAUCUCCA
rfam:Loxodonta africana unplaced genomic scaffold scaffold_143, whole genome shotgun sequence.